AAUUUCACAUCUGGAAACAAUGAAGUCUAACAUGGCUGUAGCUGAAGUAAAGUUCUGGCAGCGUUUGUGCAGUAAUUAGGGCUAAUAGCUUAUCUUCUUGGAAAGAACAGAUUUCCUUGAAGUUACCCAGACGCUGGACUUCCUGAACAGCCUUUCUGAUGGAUUUUCUGCAGUUGCGUAAAUUUUUUGUCUCCAAAUAACAGUUUGUCUUGGCACUUGGAAUUUGCUCAUCUGUGCAGAAAGCUACAACUCUACAAGAAGCCGUUGCUCAACAAGUGUCUCUCUGUCCAUCCUGCAAGUGCAAUGUUUCUGGAGCAGCACUGCCCAGUAAGAAGAAACUGCUUUGCUCUCCUCACACAGUUUUGCAGAAGGUGUUAGCAAGAGCAGCAGUUUUCCACUGGGUCUUGCAAGGGGAGCUAUUGAUUAUCCUUACUGCUUAUAGAUGUCUGAUUAAAACAAUUAAAAGCAGUUUUCUCUCAUUGGUUUCUUACUGGAAAUCCACCUGUGAACAUUGAGCCUUGGAAGUAAUGUUUCUGCUCUACGCUCUGUUUCUAGGGAUCUGUGUGGAAUGGCGCUUAAGCCUGGUUUCUUUCCCAUGAAACUCCUUCUUUUGCAUGUACAUCCCAGAAGAAUAUCACUGAUUUGAAGAAGGAGAAAAAUUACUGUUUGGAUAAUUGUUUCCUCAUAUCUUCAUAUACUUACUACACUGUAGCCAGAGUUAGAAUUGCCACAUGCUUGAUGGGUAGUGACAUCAGGAAUUUGAGAAGAGCAUGUGUUCUCUACUAUCUGAUAUUUCUUCUCAUUUCAUUGGCUUGAUUUCUCACAUGGAUUUUCUAAGUGUGAGUAGAGGCUGUGUUAUCCACUAGGAAGGUAAUGGAGUAGCUGCCCUCCAAACUGAAACACAACUAAGUUCCAGAAGUUCCUACUAAGCACUGAGAACAGCAGGUAGAGUCAAAUCCUGUCUUUGGUUGAAGUCAGAAAAUCUUUGUGGCACAUGAGUUCUUUGAUGCUGUUUUAUUUCAUAAAGAUUUGGAAGGAAAGGAAUCUGUACAUCCUUGUUGGAAGUGGUAGGUAAAAAUAGGUCAUGCUUGACUUUUAGAUGCUAUUUGAACUUAAUCUGUAAGGACAUAAGUUCUUGCUUAUAUUGAAUUAUGUUAAAAUACACCAAAGUUUGUGUAUUUUUGAUUAUAGAUAUUCAAAUUAAGUAAAAGGUGCCU
rnacentral:lncRNA from 1 species